rnacentral:tRNA from 1 species
UCAGAGAUGGUUUAAGAAAAAAAUAUUAAUUUUGGGAAUUAAUGAUAAUUUAGUUUCUCUGAA